UACGAGGGGGGCAAAUGUUGUUCGGAAUCACUGGGCGUAAAGGGAGCGUAGGCGGGUUUCUAAGUCAGGUGUUUAAUCCCGGGGCCCAACCCCGGACAGGCACUUGAAACUGGGAAUCUUGAAUAGUGGAGAGGUCAGUGGAAUUGGGGGUGUAGCGGUGGAAUGCGUAGAGAUCCCCAAGAACACCAGUUGCGAAGGCGGCUGGCUGGACACAUAUUGACGCUGAGGCUCGAAAGCAUGGGGAGCAAACAGG
rnacentral:rRNA from 1 species